GGACCUAAGCCGAGGCCGAAAGGCGUAGGCGAUGGACAACAGGUAGAUAUUCCUGUACCACCUCAUGAUUGUUUGAGCGAUGGGGGGACGCAGUAGGAUAAGGAAUGCGCACUGAUGGAUAUGUGCGCCCAAGCAGUGAGAAAGUCAGAUAGGCAAAUCCGUCUGGCAAUUUCAAGCUGUGAUGGGGAGGGAAAUUUAGUACCGAAGUUCCGGAUUUCACACUGCCAAGAAAAGCCUCUAGUUAGAUCAUAGGUGCCCGUACCGCAAACCGACACAGGUAGGCGAGGAGAGAAUCCUAAGGUGAG
rnacentral:rRNA from 1 species